UACGGGGGGGGCAAGCGUUGUUCGGAAUUACUGGGCGUAAAGGGCUCGUAGGCGGCCAACUAAGUCAGACGUGAAAUCCCUCGGCUUAACCGGGGAACUGCGUCUGAUACUGGAUGGCUUGAGUUUGGGAGAGGGAUGCGGAAUUCCAGGUGUAGCGGUGAAAUGCGUAGAUAUCGGGAGGAACACCUGUGGCGAAAGCGGCGCACUGGACCACAACUGACGCUGAUGCGCGAAAGCUAGGGGAGCAAACAGG
rnacentral:rRNA from 1 species